AUGUUAUCACGGGAGACACACGGCGGGUGCUAACGUCCGUCGUGAAGAGGGAAACAACCCAGACCGCCAGCUAAGGUCCCAAAGUCAUGGUUAAGUGGGAAACGAUGUGGGAAGGCCCAGACAGCCAGGAUGUUGGCUUAGAAGCAGCCAUCAUUUAAAGAAAGCGUAAUAGCUCACUGGUCGAGUCGGCCUGCGCGGAAGAUGUAACGGGGCUAAACCAUGCACCGAAGCUGCGGCAGCGACGCUGAUGCGUUGUUGGGUAGGGGAGCGUUCUGUAAGCCUGUGAAGGUGUGCUGUGAGGCAUGCUGGAGGUAUCAGAAGUGCGAAUGCUGACAUAAGUAACGAUAAAGCGGGUGAAAAGCCCGCUCGCCGGAAGACCAAGGGUUCCUGUCCAACGUUAAUCGGGGCAGGGUGAGUCGACCCCUAAGGCGAGGCCGAAAGGCGUAGUCGAUGGGAAACAGGUUAAUAUUCCUGUACUUGGUGUUACUGCGAAGGGGGGACGGAGAAGGCUAUGUUGGCCGGGCGACGGUUGUCCCGGUUUAAGCGUGUAGGCUGGU
rnacentral:rRNA from 1 species